GAUGAAGAACGUAGUGAAACGCGAUAGUUAAUGUGAAUUGCAGAAUUCAGUGAAUCAUCGAAUCUUUGAACGCACAUUGCGCCCGCCAGUAUUCUGGCGGGCAUGCCUGUUCGAGCGUCAUUUCAACCAUCAAGCCCUGCUUGCGUUGGGGUCCUGCGGCUGCCCGCAGGCCCUGAAAACCAGUGGCGGGCUCGCUAGUCACACCGAGCGCAGUAAUACAUCUCGCUUUGGGCGUGCGGCGGGUUCUUGCCGUUAAACACCCCCUUUUUACCAAGGUUGACCUCGGAUCAGGUAGGAAUACCCGCUGAACUUAAGCAUAUCAAUAAGCGGAGGA
rnacentral:misc_RNA from 1 species